CCUGGGUACCGUAGCUAACGCGUGAAGUGAUCCGCCUGGGGAGUACGGCCGCAAGGUUAAAACUCAAAGGAAUUGACGGGGACCCGCACAAGCGGUGGAUGAUGUGGAUUAAUUCGAUGCAACGCGAACAACCUUACCUACCCUUGACAUGUCCGGAACCCUGCUGAGAGGUGGGGGUGCCCGAAAGGGAAUCGGAACACAGGUGCUGCAUGGCUGUCGUCAGCUCGUGUCGUGAGAUGUUGGGUUAAGUCCCGCAACGAGCGCAACCCUUGUCCCUAGUUGCUACGCAAGGGCACUCUAGGGAGACUGCCGGUGACAAACCGGAGGAAGGUGGGGAUGACGUCAAGUCCUCAUGGCCCUUAUGGGUAGGGCUUCACACGUCAUACAAUGGGCGGUACAGAGGGUUGCCAACCCGCGAGGGGGAGCCAAUCCCAGAAGGCCGUUCGUAGUCCGGAUUGCAGUCUGCAACUCGACUGCAUGAAGUCGGAAUCGCUAGUAAUCGCGGAUCAGCAUGUCGCGGUGAAUACGUUCCCGGGUCUUGUACACACCGCCCGUCACACCAUGGGAGCGGGAUGUACCAGAAGCAGCUAGCCUAACCGCAAGGGGGGCGGUUGCCACGGUGCGUUUCGUGACUGGGGUGAAGUCGUAACAAGGUAGCCG
rnacentral:rRNA from 1 species